rnacentral:rRNA from 1 species
UGACCUCGAAUCAGAUGAGACUACCCGCUGAACUUAAGCAUAUCAAUAAGCGGAGGACUACCCGCUGAACUUAAGCAUAUCAAUAAGCGGAGG